rnacentral:ncRNA from 1 species
CUAUAUACCGCCAUCAUCAGCUCACCCCAAUAGGGUCCCAAAGUGAGCAAAAUCAUGAAAACCAUAAAAACGUUAGGUCAAGGUGUAGCAUAUGAAGGGGGAAGCAAUGGGCUACAUUUUCUAUAUUAGAACAUAACGGAUUGUCUACUGAAAUAAAGACAUGAAGGAGGAUUUAGUAGUAAAUUAAGAAUAGAGAGCUUAGUUGAAAUUGGCAAUAGGGUGCUACACACCGCCCGUCACCCUCCUCGAUAAAGUAACCUUCAAUACCUAAUUAGAAUACCUCAAAAAGAGGAGAAAAGUCCUAACAUGGUAAGUGUACUGGAAAGUGCACUUGGACAAUCAAAAUG